GACGAACGCUGGCGGCGUGCCUAAUACAUGCAAGUCGAACGCAGUGGGGACGGGUGAUUAACACGUGGGUAACCUCCCAUCAGAGGGGAUAACACUUGGAAACAGGUGCUAAACCGAUACUGAUGGAUGGACCCGCGGUGCAUUAGCUUGUCGGUGGGGGAACGGCUCACCAAGGCUACGAUGCAUAGCCGACCUGAGAGGGUGACCGGCCACACUGGGACUGAGACACGGACCAGACUCCGACGGGAGGCAGCAGUGGGGAAUAUUCGGCAAUGGGCGAAAGUCUGACAGAGCAAUGCCGCGUGAGUGAAGAAGGUGUUCGGAUUGUAAAACACUUUCGUUGGAGAGGCGGUACCUACAGAGGAAGCCCCGGCUAACUACGUGCCAGCAGCCGCGGUAAUAC
rnacentral:rRNA from 1 species